AAUCGCGUUCAUGUGGGGGCGCGGGAGGGUCCAAGAGACCCCAUGCCGCCGUUACGGACGCCUUGUGGGGGGAUGUCCGCAGCGGCGGUCUCGU
rnacentral:sRNA from 1 species